rnacentral:rRNA from 1 species
UGGGGAAUCUUGGACAAUGGGCGCAAGCCUGAUCCAGCCAUGCCGCGUGGAUGAUGAAGGCCUUAGGGUUGUAAAAUCCUUUCGUUGGGGACGAUAAUGACGGUACCCAAAGAAGAAGCUCCGGCUAACUACGUGCCAGCAGCCGCGGUAAUACGUAGGGUGCAAGCGUUAAUCGGAAUUACUGGGCGUAAAGCGUGCGCAGGCGGUUAUGCAAGACAGAUGUGAAAUCCCCGGGCUCAACCUGGGAACUGCAUUUGUGACUGUAUAGCUAGAGUACGGUAGAGGGGGAUGGAAUUCCGCGUGUAGCAGUGAAAUGCGUAGAUAUGCGGAGGAACACCGAUGGCGAAGGCAAUCCCCUGGACCUGUACUGACGCUCAUGCACGAAAGCGUGGGGAGCAAACAGAAUUAGAUACCCUUGUAGUCCCUGAGCGGGCUGGCAAGGCGCAU